GACGAACGCUGGCGGCGUGCUUAACACAUGCAAGUCGAACGAAGAGCGACGGAAGCUUGCUUCUAUCAAUCUUAGUGGCGAACGGGUGAGUAACGCGUAAUCAACCUGCCCUUCAGAGGGGGACAACAGUUGGAAACGACUGCUAAUACCGCAUACGAUCUAACCUCGGCAUCGAGGAUAGAUGAAAGGUGGCCUCUACAUGUAAGCUAUCACUGAAGGAGGGGAUUGCGUCUGAUUAGCUAGUUGGAGGGGUAACGGCCCACCAAGGCGAUGAUCAGUAGCCGGUCUGAGAGGAUGAACGGCCACAUUGGGACUGAGACACGGCCCAGACUCCUACGGGAGGCAGCAGUGGGGAAUCUUCCGCAAUGGACGAAAGUCUGACGGAGCAACGCCGCGUGAGUGAUGACGGCCUUCGGGUUGUAAAGCUCUGUUAAUCGGGACGAAAGGCCUUCUUGCGAAUAGUGAGGAGGAUUGACGGUACCGGAAUAGAAAGCCACGGCUAACUACGUG
rnacentral:rRNA from 1 species